UACGGGGGGGGUAAGCGUUGUUCGGAAUUACUGGGCGUAAAGCGCGUGUAGGCGGCCAUCUAAGUCGGGCGUGAAAUCCCACGGCUCAACCGUGGAAGUGCACUCGAAACUGGAUGGCUAGAGUCCUGGAGAGGAAGGUGGAAUGCUUGGUGUAGAGGUGAAAUUCGUAGAUAUCAAGCGGAACACCGGUGGCGAAGGCGGCCUUCUGGACAGUGACUGACGCUGAGACGCGAAAGCGUGGGGAGCAAACAGG
rnacentral:rRNA from 1 species